UCGAUUCUGUCGGAACAUUCGAAUUGAUAUCAGAGCUCAUCUCCUGCACCCAUUACCAACAUUAUUACUGAUUCACUUCCUUCAUCACUGCCCGUCUUUUCCGGAGGUGACAGAUGAAAUUUCGACAAUCAGGUCUACAAGGCAUAGAUGGCUCUAUCCGGCGAAGCUCUUAGCUGGUUUAAUGAGUGGCAGAAGAGAUGCAAUUCCCUUGAUUGGUUCGAAUUUGGUGCCGCUGUUUUUACUCGAUUUCCAUGCAAGCAAUCUCACCUGUUUUGCAGAACUCUCCCGCUCCUAUUGCAGCACCUACAAAAGUGAACUAUACUGCCGGCGGUCGCGACACUGCGUCAAAGAGAAAUACGAGCACCGCCGAGGUUCCUUUUGGGCUGCCAUCUGCAAUUUCUCUAUUCAAUGGUGGUAUUUCAUGGUCGCUUCCCCCUUUGCUAAACAUCAAGUUUUUAUUUCAGCUCAAGUAAUUUUGGAUUUGCAAAUGAGUUCAAGGGUGGAAGUAAUUUGGUGUUGAGUUUGAGAGAUUGUGAGCUGAGUUUUCAUCCUAAACACUGCCGUCAUGUUGUGCUUUCAAGGAGAGGUGAUAAUUUCGUAAGUGGUAGUGAAAUUUACGAGGAGUUGGUGGAUGCACUCCAAUUGUUUGAUGAAAGUCCCAUUUGGGAAUUGAUUUUUGCAUCACCUUCUAAAAUUUAUGGAUUAGUGAUUGAAGUAUGGGGUCGGGGAGUGAAAUGGAAUUCCAGUGUUGUUCAUGGGUUCAAAGGUAGUUGAUAUUUGGUGAUAAUGCUUGUUAAAUUUGGAAGUUUUAUGCACAGCAACCCAUUCAGUUGGAGUUCCC
rnacentral:lncRNA from 1 species